UCCUACAUGACCUCAAUGCAUAUUUGUAAAGCAAGAUGUGGAAUAGCCCUUUAAGAGGAGUAUGAAAUCAAUAAAGAGUUGGAAAGCAAAUGAAUCUUACUGCCAGUCACUAAGUAGAGGGAAUUGUAUUAACAGUGAUUGUAAAUUAUUCUACAAUUAACAAUUAUAAGGCUAGUUGCCCAUGAAGGCCUCUUCUUGUUUAUAAUUAAGUUUAGGGAAAACUUCAAAAACCCCCCCUGUGGUUUCACACUUUUUCAUUUUAGUACCCUGUGGUUUGAAGUGUAUCAAGUUAGUACCCUGUGGUUUCUCACUUUAUCACUUUAGUACCCUGUGGUUUAAAAUGUAUCAAGCUAGUACCCUGUGGUUUUGCACUUUAUCACUUUAGUACCCUGUGGUUUCAC
rnacentral:lncRNA from 1 species